UAGUUGCAGGUUGCAGGUUGCAGGGGGAGAGCAAUUAGUUGAGGCAGGAACAAGUUGUUUCACUUCUUUCCCUGGCCAUCUGGGUACUUGUGUUUACUUCAGACUUUCUGGCUUCUGGGGACCAUUCAGAGGUGUAUGUGCGGGUCACCAAGGCUAAAAUGGCCAGGCCUGGACUUGGAGGCCUGACACCUAGAAAGACUCAACCACAACAAGCAGCGAGGAAAUUUUCAUCUGUCCUCUGUGUGUCAAAUUUAUCUGCACACACUUUAAAUCUCUGGGUUUGCAUUCUCAAAUACCUGCUUGAAGGGGAAAGGUAUGUACACAGUGUUUGUGAUUUCAAGAAUGACUGGAUUAACUUGGUUUUUCACUCUCUUGGGAGUCAGAAGACAGAAACCAAGAGGCAGAGGCCAUAAUUCAUACUCAUGUCCCCAGCAGCUAUCAAAUAAGCAGUAGUUCAAUAAAUUGAAAGCAUGUACUUGGAGAAUCAAUAAAAGCUUCUGGGAAAAAAUGGAGUUUGAGCUGAGCCUUUGGGCAGGCAGGAUCUGCCAAGGCAAACAAGAAAAGAGCCUGGAUUUCUGGUGGUAAGAAAAUAUGAGCUAGGCAGGGAACCAGGGCAGAGCACAGGAUACACAGCUGGGUUAAGGAGGAAACUUGGCCCAGCGAAGCAGAGACUUGACCUUGGGAGUGGUGGGGAAGGUAACUACCAGAAGGUGGGCUAGAGGGCAAAGGAUCUCACAAUCCAAACAGAGGAGUUUACACCUGAUGAAAUGGAGAAUCUUGGAAGGUUUCUGAGGAGAUAACUGAUUGAUGAGGGCAACACUGAAAAUGAAGAACCUUGCAGGAUGGUGCCUGGCAUAGAUCCUCUAAGCAGAGAGCCAAGUAAGAGCCUCCUGGGGAAACCCAGACUUAGGAUGACACAUCUGGACUUGGUGAUGGCAGAGGAAAUGUCUGAGAUGGGCUUGAAGAAAGAUUUCAGUGGAAGAAACAUGAGCUGUGAUAUGUUAUCCAGUCUGGAAUGCAGUGAUGGUGAUCAAAACAUCAGGGCAGCCUUCAACUCCUGGACUCAAGCAAUCCUCCUGCCUUAGCCUCCCAGAUACCUAGGACUACAGAUCUACAAGCAAAACAUUUGGGGGCACAGGGCCUUACUUCGUUAUCUGGAAAAUCGCCAUUGUCCACAUCCAAGAGACCCUGGUGAGGCCGUAUCUGCUUGAACAUCAUUCAUGACUGUGAGAGAAGUGGUGAUUAACUUACCUUGAAAUCAUACUGUUUAUCUUCAGAUAAUGAUGAAGGUCAUAGUGAUUCAGAGUCCAAACUCUGAAGCAAGAUGACCUGAGUCUAAAUCUUUCCUCUGCAACUUACUGCUGUAUUUUAAACUUGGUUCUUGGGUUGUUGCCGUUUGGAGGGAGGGUACUACUUAGGAUAGUUUAAGCACGUUGAUCAUAUCAAGCUGGAAAUAGAAUUGCUCACUAAGUUGUGGAUACUGGCCCCUGCCCUGAUUCCUCUGCUGUUGAUUCCCCAGCUCCCCUAACACCAUUUUAUAUUCAUGAAUCUCUUUGUAUAAUAUAUUGAUUCAGCUGCAUUAUUUGUCAGGUUGUCUGGCACCGUGCUAGGCUAUAGAGAUACAAAGGCAACAAAUUAUGGACUAUCUUAAAGGGUGGAUAAAUAUAUGUAGGGGACAGAGACUUGCAAACAAAUGCAUUCGUCAAAAUGUUAAUUAGGCCAGGCGUGGUGGCUCAUGCCUGUAAUCCAAG